GAGCCACACACAGAACGGAGGAGAAACCUGUCAGUCACUGUUUUAACCAAGCCUUCCAGGCUAAUUUAGGUACCUGAGCUAGGUGAUCAAAGUACCAGCCUUACAUGCCCCCUGCUGUCACGCACUGAGAACCAAACACCAAACAUUGCCUUUGAAGUACAUGGUUCCCCAGAAGAGUUGACCUUGAAUCUUUUUUUUUUUUUAAUUUUAGAUGUUGAUGGACCUUUAUUUUGUUCAUUUAUUUGUAUGUGGUGCUGAGAAUCGAACCCAGUGCCUCACACAUGCUAGGCAAGUGCUCUACCACUGAGCCACCACUCCAGCCCCAACCUUGAAUCUUAAUCAUGAGGAAACAAUUGGAUGCAUCCAGAUCCAGAGCCAUUCCGCAAAGCCACUGGCCUGGACUCUUCAAACAGAUCAAAGCUGUAAGCUGCAACACAACUGAUUCACUACGUGAAUGAAUGACUUGACCAAAGCUGAGGUGACAGUCCUACCUGGGAGGAAACAGAGAGGCAUGAUUGCCAGAUCCCUUUAGGGGAUCUUUAAUAAAGUUUCCAAAGAAGAUAAAACAGAUAUGAAGGAUGUUCUCGGGACAAUUGGGGAAAUUUGAAUUGUAAGUGGCUGUUGGAGAAUGGCAUCAUACCCGUGUUAUGUGUCCUGAGUGCCGUCAUUGUCCUGUGUGAAAUGCUCUCGUUCUCAGGAGGAGGAUUCUUUGGGGUAAGCUUGCGAUGAGUGCAUAUGUCAGAUGACUCAUAAAAAAAGUGUGUGUACAGAAUGUCGCAGCUAAUACACUAUAGUAUGUAUAUAUGGGGGGGGACAAAGAGAAAGCAAAUUUGGCAAAAUAUUAACCCUUGCUGGAACCAGG
rnacentral:lncRNA from 1 species